UCCCGCUUAGCUCAGCGGUAGUAGCGCUUCACUAGUAAUGAAGAGGUCAGUCGUUCAAAUCGGCUAGUGGGAA
rnacentral:tRNA from 2 species